rnacentral:rRNA from 1 species
UAGUCCACGCCCUAAACGAUGGAUACUAGUCGUCGGAAAUCUAAUCGUUUCGGUGACGUAGCUAACGCAUUAAGUAUCCCGCCUGGGAAUUACGGUCGCAAGAUUAAAACUCAAAGGAAUUGACGGGGGCCCGCACAAGCGGUGGAGCAUGUGGUUUAAUUCGAUGCUACGCGAAGAACCUUACCUGGGCUUGACAUCCCGGGCUAUCCUAGGAAACUAGGAGUUCCCUUCGGGGACCCGGUGACAGGUGCUGCAUGGCUGUCGUCAGCUCGUGUUGUGAGAUGUUGGGUUAAGUCCCGCAACGAGCGUAACCCUCGCCCCUAGUUACCAGCAUUUAGUUGGGCACUCUAGGGGGACCGCUUGGCUAUAAGCCAGAGGAAGGUGGGGAUGACGUCAAGUCCUCAUGGCCUUUAUGUCCAGGGCUACACACGUGCUACAAUGGGAGAUACAAUGCGCAGCUAACUCGCGAGAGUACGCUAAUCGCAAAAAGUCUUUCUCAGUUCGGAUUGGAGUCUGCAACUCGA